GCUCGGGUAGCUCAGUUGGUAGAGCACUGGUUUGAAGAACCAGGUGUCGGCAGUUCGAGUCUGCCUCCGAGCA
rnacentral:tRNA from 1 species